CAAAGCUGCUUUAUCAAAAGAAAGUUUCAACUCUGUGAGUUGAAUGUGCACAUCACAAAGAAGUUUCUGAGAAUGCCUUCAGUCUGGUUUUUAUGUGAAGAUAUUCCCUUUUCCAACGAAAGCCUCGAAGCUGUCCAAAUUUCCACUUGCAGAUUCUACUAAAAGAGUAUUUCAAAACUGCUCUAUGAUAAAGUCUGUUCAACUCCGUGAGUUGAAUGCACACAUCACAAAGCAGUUUCUCAGAAUGCUUCUGUCAAAUUUUUAUGUUAAGGUAUUUUCUUUUCAACUUUAGGCCUCAAAGCAAUCCAAAUGUCCACUUGUAGUUUCUGCAAAAGAGUGUUUCAAACCUGCUCUAUCAAAAUAAAGGUUAAACUCUGUGAGUUUAAUGCACACAUCACAAAGAAGUUUCUGAGAAUGCUUUGGUCUAGUUUUUAUGUGAAGAUACUCUCCUUUCCAACAAAGGCAUGAAAGCAGUUCAAUUACCCACAUGCAGAUACUACUAAAAGAGUGUUUCAAAACUGCUCUGUGAUAAAGUUUGUUCAACUCUGAGAGUUGAAUGAAAACGUCACAAAGAAGUUUCUGAGAAUGCUUCUGUGUAGUUUUUGUGAGAAGAUAUUCCGUUUUCCACCAUUGGAAUAGAAGCGCUACAAAUGUCCACUUGCAGAUCCUGCAAAAAGUGUGUUUCAUACCUGCUCUAUGAAAAGGAAGGUUCAACUUGGUGAGUUAAAUGCACGCAUCACAAAGAAGUUUCUGAGAAUGCUUCUGUCUAGUUUUUGUGUGAAGUUAUUUCCUUUCCCACCAUAUGCCUCAAAACUCUCCAAAUGCACACAUGCAGAUUCUGCAAAAAGAGUGUUUCAAACGUGCACUAUCAAAAGUUCAUCUCUGUGAGUUGAAUGCACACAUCACAAAGAAGUUUCUGAGAAUGCUUCUGUCUAGUUUUUAUGUGAAGGUAUUCCUGUUUCUAAUGAAGACCUCAAAUCGGUCCAAAUAUCCACUUG
rnacentral:lncRNA from 1 species